UACGUAGGCUCCAAGCGUUAUCCGGAUUUACUGGGCGUAAAGAGUUGCGUAGUUGGCAGAGUAAGUUAGUAGUGAAAUCGUAUGGCUCAACCAUACUCACAUUGCUAAAACUGCUCAGCUUGAGGAUGAGAGAGGUCACUGGAAUUCCUUGUGUAGGAGUGAAAUCCGUAGAUAUAAGGAGGAACACCGAUGGCGUAGGCAGGUGACUGGCUCAUUUCUGACACUAAGGCACGAAAGCGUGGGGAGCAAACGGG
rnacentral:rRNA from 1 species